rnacentral:rRNA from 1 species
UACGAAGGGUGCAAGCGUUACUCGGAAUUACUGGGCGUAAAGCGCACGUAGGCGGCUUUGUAAGUAAGAGGUGAAAGCCCGGAGCUCAACUCCGGAACUGCCUUUUAGACUGCAUCGCUUGAAUCCAGGAGAGGUGAGUGGAAUUCCGAGUGUAGAGGUGAAAUUCGUAGAUAUUCGGAAGAACACCAGUGGCGAAGGCGGCUCACUGGACUGGUAUUGACGCUGAGGUGCGAAAGCGUGGGGAGCAAACAGGG